AAAAUACUCCCUCCCUCCGGAAAUACUUGUCCUAAAAAUGGUUGUAUCUAGACUUAUUUUAGUUAUAGAUACAUCUAUUUUAUCCAUUUCUAGGACAAGUAUUUCCGGACGGAGGGAGUAGUUU
rnacentral:pre_miRNA from 1 species